rnacentral:rRNA from 1 species
GACGAACGCUGGCGGCGUGCUUAACACAUGCAAGUCGAACGGAAAGGCCCUGCUUUUGUGGGGUGCUCGAGUGGCGAACGGGUGAGUAACACGUGAGUAACCUGCCCUUGACUUUGGGAUAACUUCAGGAAACUGGGGCUAAUACCGGAUAGGAGCUCCUGCUGCAUGGUGGGGGUUGGAAAGUUUCGGCGGUUGGGGAUGGACUCGCGGCUUAUCAGCUUGUUGGUGGGGUAGUGGCUUACCAAGGCUUUGACGGGUAGCCGGCCUGAGAGGGUGACCGGCCACAUUGGGACUGAGAUACGGCCCAGACUCCUACGUGAGGCAGCAGUGGGCAAUAUUGCACAAUGGGCGGAAGCCUGAUGCAGCAACGCCGCGUGCGGGAUGACGGCCUUCGGGUUGUCACCAGCUUUCGCCUGUGACGAAGCGUGAGUGACGGUACUGGGUCAAGAAGCACCGGCUAACUACGUG